UGGCUCAAUUUCCUGGGGGGUGGGUUCAGUCUACUCCACCUCCCCUCAGCUGAGCCUAGAACAGAGGGACCAGGCAUCCCAACGUGGGGGAGGCGUUUUAAGUAAGGAGCCUCCCUGGGCUGUCCUAGCCUCACAUUU
rnacentral:snoRNA from 1 species